UACGUAGGGGGCAAGCGUUGUCCGGAUUUAUUGGGCGUAAAGCGCGUGUAGGCGGCUUUGCAAGUCGGGUGUGAAAGCCCUCAGCUCAACUGAGGAAGUGCGCCCGAAACUGCAGAGCUUGAGUGCCGGAGAGGGUGGCGGAAUUCCCCAAGUAGAGGUGAAAUUCGUAGAUAUCAAGCAGAACACCUGCGGCGAAGGCGGCCUUCUGGACGAUGACUGACGCUGAGACGCGAAAGCGUGGGGAGCAAACAGG
rnacentral:rRNA from 1 species